AUUUUUGUGCUUGGGACAAUGGCAUAGCUAGUGAGGUGCUAAUUGAGGCGUGUCUAUUGCUGGUUGAAAACUAUUUCCAAACCCACUCUUUGGCUUGGGUUCAAGCCCUGGCCAUUGAGAGAAUUUCUGGAAGGGCUCCCUAUGAGGUAAAACGCU
rfam:Eucalyptus grandis cultivar BRASTZ1 unplaced genomic scaffold scaffold_5, whole genome shotgun sequence.